rnacentral:piRNA from 1 species
UGCCACAAAUCACAUGGUCUUGCCCUGGU